GCCUGGGUGGCGGAAUAGGUAGACGCAAGGGACUUAAAAUCCCUCGGGGCUCUGCUCUGUACGGGUUCGAUUCCCGUCCCAGGCA
rnacentral:tRNA from 1 species